UCCCCUUCCUGUGUCCAUGUGAUCUCAUUGUUCAAUUCCCACCUAUGAGUGAGAAUAUGCGGUGUUCGGUUUCUUGUUCUUGCGAUAGUUUACUGAGAAUGAUGAUUUCCAGUUUCAUCCAUGUCCCUACAAAGGACAUGAACUCAUCAUUUUUAUGGCUGCAUAGUAUUCCAUGGUGUAUAUGUGCCACAUUUUCUUAAUCCAGUCUAUCGUUGUUGGACAUUUGGGUUGGUUCCAAGUCUUUGCUAUUGUGAAUAAUGCUGCAAUAAACAUACGUGUGCAUGUGUCUUUAUGGCAGCAUGAUUUAUAGUCCUUUGGGUAUAUACCCAGUAACGGGAUGGCUGGGUCAAAUGGUAUUUCUACUUCUAGAUCCCUGAGGAAUUGCCACACUGACUUCCACAAUGGUUGAACCAGUUUACAGUCCUACCAACAGUGUAAAAGUGUUCCUAUUUCUCCACAUCCUCUCCAGCACCUAUUGUUUCCUGACUUUUUAAUGAUUGCCAUUCUAACUGGUGUGAGAUGGUAUCUCAUUGUGGUUUUGAUUUGCAUUUCUCUGAUGGCCAGUGAUGAUGAGCAUUUUUUCAUGUGUUUUUUGGCUGCAUAAAUGUCUUCUUUUGAGAAGUGUCUGUUCAUGUCCUUUGCCCACUUUUUGAUGGGGUUGUUUGUUUUUUUCUUGUAAAUUUGUUUGAGUUCAUUGUAGACUCUGGAUAUUAGCCCUUUGUCAGAUGAGUAGGUUGCGAAAAUUUUCUCCCAUUUUGUAGGUUGCCUGUUCACUCUGAUGAUAGUUUCCUUUGCUGUGCAGAAGCUCUUUAGUUUAAUUAGAUCCCGUUUGUCAAUUUUGUCUUUUGUUGCCAUUGCUUUUGGUGUUUUAGACAUGAAGUCCUUGCCCAUGCCUAUGUCCUGAAUGGUAAUGCCUAGGUUUUCUUCUAGGGUUUUUAUGGUUUUAGGUCUAAUGUUUAAGUCUUUAAUCCAUCUUGAAUUGAUUUUUGUAUAAGGUGUAAGGAAGGGAUCCAGUUUCAGCUUUCUACAUAUGGCUAGCCAGUUUUCCCAGCACCAUUUAUUAAAUAGGGAAUUCUUUCCCCAUUUCUUGUUUUUCUCAGGUUUGUCAAAGAUCAGAUAGUUGUAGAUAUGCGGUGUUAUUUCUGAGGGCUCUGUUCUGUUCCAUUGAUCUAUAUCUCUGUUUUGGUACCAGUACCAUGCUGUUUUGGUUACUGUAGCCUUGUAGUAUAGUUUGAAGUCAGGUAGUGUGAUGCCUCCAGCUUUGUUCUUUUGGCUUAGGAUUACCUUGGCGAUGCGGGCUCUUUUUUGCUUCCAUAUGAACUUUAAAGUAGUUUUUUCCAAUUCUGUGCAGGAAGUCAUUGGUAGCUUGAUGGGGAUGGCAUUGAAUCUGUAAAUUACCUUGGGCAGUAUGGCCAUUUUCACGAUAUUGAUUCUUCCUACCCAUGAGCAUGGAAUGUUCUUCCAUUUGUUUGUAUCCUCUUUUAUUUCAUUGAGCAGUGGUUUGUAGUUCUCCUUGAAGAGGUCCUUCACAUCCCUUGUAAGUUGGAUUCCUAGGUAUUUUGCUCUCUUUGAAACAAUUGUGAAUGGGAGUUCACUCAUGAUUUCGCUCUCUGUUUGUCUGUUGUUGGUGUAUAAGAAUGCUUGUGAUUUUUGUACAUUGAUUUUGUAUCCUGAGACUUUGCUGAAGUUGCUUAUCAGCUUAAGGAGAUUUGGGGCUGAGAUGAUGGGGUUUUCUAGAUAUACAAUCAUGUCGUCUGCAAACAGGGACAAUUUGACUUCCUCUUUUCCUAAUUGAAUACCCUUUAUUUCCUUCUCCUGCCUAAUUAACCUGGCCAGAACUUCCAACACUAUGUUGAAUAGGAGUGGUGAGAGAGGGCAUCCCUGUCUUGUGCCAGUUUUCAAAGGGAAUGCUUCCAGUUUUUGCCCAUUUAGUAUGAUAUUGGCUGUGGGUUUGUCAUAGACAGCUCUUAUUAUUUUGAAAUACGUCCCAUCAAUACCUAAUUUAUUGAGUUUUUAGCAUGAAGGUUGUUGAAUUUUGUCAAAGGCCUUUUCUGCAUCUAUUGAGGUAAUCAUGUGGUUUUUGUCUUUGGCUCUGUUUAUAUGCUGAAUUACAUUUAUUGAUUUGCGUAUAUUGAACCAGCCUUGCAUCCCAGGGAUGAAGCCCACUUGAUCAUGGUGGAUAAACUUUUUGAUGUGCUGCUGGAUUCGGUUUGCCAGUAUUUUAUUGAGGAUUUUUGCAUCAAUGUUCAUCAAGAAUAAUGGUCUGAAAUUCUCUUUUUUGGUUGUGUCUCUGCCCAGCUUUGGUAUCAGAAUGAUGCUGGCCUCAUAAAAUGACUUAGGGAGGAUUCCCUCUUUUUCUAUUGAUUGGAAUAGUUUCAGAAGGAAUGGUACCAGUUCCUCCUUGUACCUCUGGUAGAAUUCGGCUGUGAAUCCAUCUGGUCCUGGACUCUUUUUGGUUGGUAAACUAUUGAUUAUUGCCACAAGUUUAGCUCCUGUUAUUGGUCUAUUCAGAGAUUCAACUUCUUCCUGGUUUAGUCUUGGGAGAGUGUAGGUGUCGAGGAAUUUAUCCAUUUCUUCUAGAUUUUCUAGUUUAUUUGUGUAGAGGUGUUUGUAGUAUUCUCUGAUGGUAGUUUGUAUUUCUGUGGGAUCGGUGGUGAUAUCCCCUUUAACAUUUUUUAUUGUGUCUAUUUGAUUCUUCUCUCUUUUUUUCUUUAUUAGUCUUGCUAGCGGUCUAUCAAUUUUGUUGAUCCUUUCAAAAAACCAGCUCCUGGAUUCAUUAAUUUUUUGAGGGGUUUUUUGUGUCUCUAUUUCCUUCAGUUCUGCUCUGAUUUUAGUUAUUUCUUGCCUUCUGCUAGCUUUUGGAUGUGUUUGCUCUUGCUUUUCUAGUUCUUUUAAUUGUGAUGUUAGGGUGUCAAUUUUAGAUCUUUCCUGCUUUCUCUUGUGGGCAUUUAGUGCUAUCAAUUUCCCUCUAACACACUGCUUUGAAUGUGUCCCAGAGAUUCUGGUAUGUUGUGUCUUUGUUCUCAGUGGUUUCAAAGAACAUCUUUAUUUCUGCCUUGAUUUCGUUAUGUAUCCAGUAGUCAUUCAGGAGCAGGUUGUUCAGUUUCCAUGUAGUUGAGCAGUUUUGAGUGAGAUUCUUAAUUCUGAGUUCUAGUUUGAUUGGACUGUGGUCUGAGAGAUAGUUUGUUAUAAUCUCUAUUCUUUUACAUUUGCUGAGGAGAGCUUUACUUCCAACUAUGUGGUCAAUUUUGGAAUAGGUGUGGUGCUGAAAAAAAUGUAUAUUCUGUUGAUUUGGGGUGGAGAGUUCUGUAGAUGUCUAUUAGGUCUGCUUGGUGCAGAGCUGAGUUCAAUUCCUGGGUAUCCUUGUUGACUUUCUGUCUCGUUGAUCUGUCUAAUGUUGACAGUGGGGUGUUAAAGUCUCCCAUUAUUAAUGUGUGGGAGUCUAAGUCUCUUUGUAGGUCACUCAGGACCUGCUUUAUGAAUCUGGGUGCUCCUGUAUUGGGUGCAUAUAUAUUUAGGAUAGUUAGCCCUUCUUGUUGAAUUGAUCCCUUUACCAUUAUGUAAUGACCUUCUUUGUCUCUUUUGAUCUUUGUUGGUUUAAAGUCUGUUUUAUCAGAGACUAGGAUUGCAACCCGUGCCUUUUUUUGUUUUCCAUUUGCUUGGUAGAUCUUCCUCCAUCCUUUUAUUUUGAGCCUAUGUGUGUCUCUGCACAUGAGAUGGGUUUCCUGAAUACAGCACACUGAUGGGUCUUGACUCUUUAUCCAAUUUGCCAGUCUGUGUCUUUUAAUUGGAGCAUUUAGUCCAUUUACAUUUAAAGUUAGUAUUGUUAUGUGUGAAUUUGAUCCUGUGAUUAUGAUGUUAGCUGGUGAUUUUGCUCGUUAGUUGAUGCAGUUUCUUCCUAGUCUCGAUGGUCUUUACAUUUUGGCAUGAUUUUGCAGUGGCUUGUACCGGUUGUUCCUUUCCAUGUUUAGCGCUUCCUUCAGCUCUUUUAGGGCAGGCCUGGUGGUGACAAAAUCUCUCAGCAUUUGCUUGUCUCUAAAGUAUUUUAUUUCUCCUUCACUUAUGAAGCUUAGUUUGGCUGGAUAUGAAAUUCUGGGUUGAAAAUUCUUUUAAGAAUGUUGAAUAUUGGCCCCCACUCUCUUCUGGCUUGUAGGGUUUCUGCCAAGAGAUCCGCUGUUAGUCUGAUGGGC
rnacentral:lncRNA from 1 species